GAUGAACGCUGGCGGCGUGCCUAAUACAUGCAAGUCGAGCGAACAGACGAGGAGCUUGCUCCUCUGACGUUAGCGGCGGACGGGUGAGUAACACGUGGAUAACCUACCUAUAAGACUGGGAUAACUUCGGGAAACCGGAGCUAAUACCGGAUAAUAUAUUGAACCGCAUGGUUCAAUAGUGAAAGACGGUUUUGCUGUCACUUAUAGAUGGAUCCGCGCCGCAUUAGCUAGUUGGUAAGGUAACGGCUUACCAAGGCAACGAUGCGUAGCCGACCUCAGAGGGGGAUCGGCCACACUGGAACUGAGCCACGGUCCAGACUCCUACGGGAGGCAGCAGUAGGGAAUCUUCCGCAAUGGGCGAAAGCCUGACGGAGCAACGCCGCGUGAGUGAUGAAGGUCUUCGGAUCGUAAAACUCUGUUAUUAGGGAAGAACAAAUGUGUAAGUAACUAUGCACGUCUUGACGGUACCUAAUCAGAAAGCCACGGCUAACUACGUGCCAGCAGUCGCCGUAA
rnacentral:rRNA from 1 species